CAGCCGCCGCGGGAAUACAGAGGGUGCGAGCGUUAAUCGGAUUUACUGGGCGUAAAGCGUGCGUAGGCGGCUUCUUAAGUCGGAUGUGAAAUCCCUGAGCUUAACUUAGGAAUUGCAUUUGAUACUGGGAAGCUAGAGUAUGGGAGAGGAUGGUAGAAUUCCAGGUGUAGCGGUGAAAUGCGUAGAGAUCUGGAGGAAUACCGAUGGCGAAGGCAGCCAUCUGGCCUAAUACUGACGCUGAGGUACGAAAGCAUGGGGAGCAAACAGGAUUAGAUACCCCCGUAGUCCCUGUCUCUUAUAC
rnacentral:rRNA from 1 species